rnacentral:rRNA from 1 species
UACGGAGGGUGCGAGCGUUGUCCGGAAUCAUUGGGCGUAAAGGGCGCGUAGGUGGCGGGACAAGCGUGCGGUGAAAGCUCGGGGCUCAACCCCGCGUCGGCCGUGCGAACUGUUUUGCUUGAGCACUGUAGAGGCAGGCGGAAUUCCGGGUGUAGCGGUGAAAUGCGUAGAUAUCAGGAGGAACACCGGUGGCGAAGGCGGGUCUCUGGGCCGAUACUGACGCUGAGGAGCGAAAGCGUGGGGAGCGAACAGG